rnacentral:lncRNA from 1 species
AUGACUAUAUAGGUCUUGUAGAGAGAAAACAGGCGCUUCUUUUGCGCUAGGUAUCGAAGGGCGCUAUGUUCAAAAAUCUGAAACUAGAGCUCAAAAUUCGAAAAAAAUGUCAAAAAAAUGGGGGUAGGGUCGGCCUAUUCCAGGACUUCUAGAGAAAAAUAAUGAGGGGUGUCACGGGGUAUGACUAUAUAGGUCUUGUAGAAGAGAAACAGGCGCUUCUUUUGCGCUAGGUAUCGAAGGGCGCUAUGUUCAAAAAUCUGAAACUAGAGCUCAAAAUUUGAAAAAAAUGUCAAAAAAAUUAGGGGGGUCGGCCUAUUCCAGG